rnacentral:rRNA from 1 species
AGAGUUUGAUCAUGGCUCAGAACAAACGCUGGCGGCGUGCCUAAUACAUGCAAGUCGAACGGGGAAAGCUUUCGGGUGAGCACUAGUGGCGCACGGGUGAGUAACGCGUGGAUAAUCUGCCUUCGAGUCGGGGAUAACUAGUCGAAAGAUUAGCUAAUACCGGAUAAGACCACAGGAACUGAGGUUCUAGGGGUAAAGGUUUUUCGCUUGAAGAUGAGUCCGCGUGAGAUUAGCUAGUUGGUGAGGUAACGGCUCACCAAGGCAACGAUCUCUAACUGGUCUGAGAGGAUGAUCAGUCACACUGGAACUGAGACACGGUCCAGACUCCUACGGGAGGCAGCAGUAGGGAAUAUUGCACAAUGGAGGAAACUCUGAUGCAGCGACGCCGCGUGAGUGAUGAAGGCCUUCGGGUCGUAAAGCUCUGUCGCAGGGGAAUAACACAAUGAAGGUACCCUGCAAGAAAGGAUCGGCUAACUUCGUG